AACGAACGCUGGCGGCAUGCCUAACACAUGCAAGUCGAACGAAGCCUUCGGGCUUAGUGGCGCACGGGUGCGUAACGCGUGGGAAUCUGCCCUUAGGUACGGAAUAACUCAGGGAAACUUGAGCUAAUACCGUAUAAUGACUCCGGUCCAAAGAUUUAUCGCCUGAGGAUGAGCCCGCGUAGGAUUAGCUAGUUGGUGAGGUAAAAGCUCACCAAGGCGACGAUCCUUAGCGGUCUGAGAGGAAGAUCAGCCACACUGGGACUGAGACACGGCCCAGACUCCUACGGGAGGCAGCAGUUGGGAAUCUUGGACAAUGGGGAAACCCGUGAUCCAGCCAUGCCGCGUGAGUGAUGAAGGCCUUCGGUUGUUAAAC
rnacentral:rRNA from 1 species